rnacentral:rRNA from 1 species
UACGGAGGGUGCGAGCGUUGUCCGGAAUCAUUGGGCGUAAAGCGCGUGUAGGCGGUUCGGUAAGUCCGCUGUGAAAGUCGGGGGCUCAACCCUCGAAUGCCGGUGGAUACUGUCGGACUAGAGUACGGAAGAGGCGAGUGGAAUUCCUGGUGUAGCGGUGAAAUGCGCAGAUAUCAGGAGGAACACCAAUUGCGAAGGCAGCUCGCUGGGACGUUACUGACGCUGAGACGCGAAAGCGUGGGGAGCAAACAGG